rnacentral:miRNA from 1 species
UUGAUCGGCCAAUGUUCGCUUU